UUACAACUACAACUGGCUGUCCGAAGGCAGAAAAGUCUCGCCGUGUAUUAUAGCUGUUGAGUGAAGAAAAGAAUAAGCGACGUGAAAGGAAAUUGAACAGGCGUAGAUCACUGUAAAAUGGCGAACUCAACGAGAGAAACAACGACUGAGCAAAGUCUAGCUUUCAUCAGGCAGUCUUUGAAAUCCGCUACGAUGGAUCACCUGGAAGGAACACACUUUGACGGCUCGAUACCUCAUAUUUUUGUAAUACUUGGAGCAUCUGGUGACUUGGCGAAGAAGAAGAUCUAUCCAACUUUGUGGUGGCUGUUCAGGGACAACCUGUUGCCAAAAACGACGACAUUCUUUGGAUACUCGCGCAGUAAAUUGACAGUGAAAAGCAUUAGGGAAAACUGCCACAAGUAUAUGAAUGUCAAGCCUGAGGAAGCUGGAAAGUAUGAGGAAUUUUGGUCUUUGAAUCAUUACGUUUCUGGAAAAUACGAUGUGAGACGAGACUUCGAACUGCUUAAUCAGGAACUCGAGAAAUUUGAAAAACCUGCCGCUGCUCACAGACUUUUUUAUUUGGCUCUGCCUCCCUCUGUUUUCGAAGAAUCCACAUCACACAUCAGGAGUACCUGCAUGGCCGGAAAAGGCUGGACAAGGAUAAUUAUAGAAAAACCGUUUGGACGUGACGCCGCCUCGUCUGAGCAACUUUCUAACCACCUUGCAUCGCUCUUCAAGGAGGAACAAAUGUACCGGAUAGAUCACUACCUGGGUAAAGAAAUGGUGCAGAAUUUGAUGACACUGAGGUUUGGGAACAGGAUAUUCAGCCCAACUUGGAACAGGGACAGCGUAGCUUCGGUUCAGAUUUCUUUCAAAGAGCCGUUUGGGACUCAGGGAAGAGGCGGGUACUUCGACGAGUUCGGCAUCAUAAGAGACGUCAUGCAAAAUCACCUUCUUCAGAUACUAUCCCUGGUGGCGAUGGAGAAACCCGCUUCUUGCCAUCCGGAUGACAUUAGAGAUGAGAAAGUCAAGGUAUUGCGAUGCAUAAGUCCCCUCGAAUUGGACGACGUUGUGCUCGGUCAGUAUGUUGGCAAUCCCAACUCCGACGUUCCCGAUGCCAGAAUGGGAUACCUGGACGAUCCUACCGUUCCUGCUGGUUCAAACACCCCAACCUAUGCCAUGGCGGUUGUAAAAAUUAACAACGAAAGAUGGGACGACGUGCCGUUCAUCCUGAGGUGUGGAAAAGCAUUGAAUGAGCGCAAAGCAGAGGUUCGAAUUCAGUACAGAGAUGUGCCUGGAGAUAUAUUCGAUGGUAAGCCAAAGAGAAAUGAAUUGGUGAUAAGGUUGCAGCCUGGAGAAGCAAUUUAUAUUAAAAUGAUGACCAAAUCUCCGGGCAUAACAUUUGACAUGGAGGAAACUGAGUUGGAUUUGACCUACGGCAGUAGAUACAAGGAGCUCAAGCUGCCCGAUGCAUAUGAAAGACUAAUUUUAGACGUAUUCUGCGGUUCGCAAAUGCACUUUGUAAGGAGUGAUGAACUCGCCGAAGCUUGGAGAAUUUUCACGCCGUUACUUCAUCGGAUUGAAAAGGAAAACAUCCAGCCGAUACCUUACGAAUACGGAUCACGAGGACCCAAGGAAGCUAACGAAAAAGCGAAGGAAAACAAUUUCAAGUACUAUGGUUCCUAUAAGUGGGUGAAACCUGAUCAUCAGUAAUUAAAUCGCCAGUUUUAUCACAAAUCGUAAUAUUUUAUUAGUAAAGGAAAUGUUGUCGGCGCGCCGUAAAAAUUUUAACAAUCAACGAAAUUAAUAUUUAUAUUCCUUCGUUCCACAAUUGACGUUUAUACAAUUCUAAAAUCAUUCCUGGAAACUAUUUCCUAGCUUGCUCAAAAUGGUGUUUUUGUAAUCAUGUUUACUUAAAAUACAACGAAUUUUUCAUUUCUUUAUUUUAUGCACAUUUCUUCCCGGUAUAAACAAAUCAUUCCAUAGAUCGUUUUUUUUUCAAGCGUUACAUAAGGAUCAAUUCAACAUAAACGAGCCAUAAACAAUAAAAUUAAUCAACAUUAUAGUUGAAAUCAUGCAUCCUACCACGACAACAAAUAAUGUACAAUAUUUUUUAUACAUAUUUAAAUAUUUCAUAAUUAUUAGGCUAUGUUAUUGUUAAUCAUUAUUGUAAAAACGAAAAAAAAACUUUCGAAAAGAAUGCAAUAACUUGAUCAUCUGUGAUGCGCAAUAAAAUUGUUGAGUAAAGUAGAGAAAAAUAUUUACGCAACGGAAAAAUUAAGCAAAAUGAUGAAUACUGGCAAACUUAAUACUCACUAAGUACGUAAGAUUAUUACAAACUCCAAAGGAACAAUCUACGUUACAUUCCGUCACCCAUAAUCUUAACAUUUACUCUGAGCACAGAAUGUUUAUAAUAAAUAAGGUACACAAAUUUCGGUUGUUUCUAUUUAACUAUCAUCGUCUAUGUGAGACUUGUGUGGACCAAUUGCAAUGAGACGAGACUAUUACUAUAUGUUAAAUAAAUAAAAAUCCUGAAAGUUCAAAGAUUGAAAAUAAAUCCAGCGAUUUAUGUAUUAUAAAUGAUAAAUAUUACCCCCUUGCGAUCUAACAGCAAAUACUUACUUAUAAGUACGUGAGAAAUAUUAAUUUUAUCGUCUGCCAAAUGUUGUACGCGUAAUACGGCACAAGAAAAAAAUACCAUAAAUUUACUGUAAGUUUGCUUUAUUUUAUUCAAUUAAUAUGUUUCCACGAUUUAUUGUAAAAUUUAUCAAGUUACAAAUAUAUAGGUAUAAUAUACAUGCACGUCCCGUGUGCACGCCUACUCGCAGAUGACGAAUAAUUCGAAUUAAUUAUACGGAAUACGGAGUUUAGUUCAUUUUCCUUAUUGUGUACAUAAAUUAAAUACUUGUACAGGAAAAAAAAAAAAGAAAAUUUCAGUUGUAAAUCAUGUCAAACAAUUUAGUCAAAAAGAAAACUGCCCCAUGAAUUUGAUGCGU
rnacentral:misc_RNA from 1 species